UACGGAGAGUGCAAGCAUUAAUCGGAAUUAUUGGGCGUAAAGGGCGCGUAGGCGGAUUGGAAAGUCAGAUGUGAAAUUUCGAGGCUCAACUUCGAAGCUGCAUUUGAAACUGUCAGUCUAGAGGGUUGAUGGAGAAAACGGAAUUCCACGUGUAGCGGUGAAAUGCGUAGAUAUGUGGAAGAACACCUGUGGCGAAAGCGGUUUUCUAAUUAACACCUGACGCUGAGGCGCGAGAGCAAGGGGAGCAAACAGGAUUAGAUACCCUGGUAGUCCUUGCCGUAAAUGAUGUAUACUUGAUGUAAUUGGGCUCAACCCCGGCUGUGUCGGAGCUAACGCGAUAAGUAUACCGCCUGAGGAGUACGCUCGCAAGGGUGAAACUCAAAAGAAUUGACGGGGGCCCGAACAAGCAGUGAGCAUGUGGUUUAAUUCGAUGCAACGCGAAGAACCUUACCCAGGCUCGAAAUAUAAGAGACGCAUCCAGAGAUGGAUGUUUCCGCAAGGAUUGUUAUAUAGGUGCUGCAUGGCUGUCGUCAGCUCGUGCCGUGAGGUGUUUGGUUAAGUCCAGCAACGAGCGCAACCCUUAUCAUUAGUUGCCAACGCGAAAGGCGGGGACUCUAGUGAGACUGCCUGGGUUAACCAGGAGGAAGGUGAGGAUGACGUCAAG
rnacentral:rRNA from 1 species